GAUGAACGCUGGCGGCGUGCCUAACACAUGCAAGUCGAACGAGAAGCUAACUUCUGAUUCCUUCGGGGAGAUGAAGUUGGUAGAAAGUGGCGAACGGGUGAGUAACGCGUGGGUAAUCUACCCUGUUAGUGGGGGAUAACCCUCCGAAAGGAGGGCUAAUACCGCAUAAGGUCUUCACUUCUUAAGAAGUAAAGAUUAAAGAUGGCCUCUAUACUAUGCUAUCGCCUCAGGAUGAGCCCGCGUCCUAUUAGUUAGUUGGUGGGGUAAUGGCCUACCAAGACCACAAUGGGUAGCCGGUCUGAGAGGAUGUACGGCCACACUGGGACUGAGACACGGUCCAGACUCCUACGGGAGGCAGCAGUGGGGAAUAUUGGACAAUGGGCGAAAGCCUGAUCCAGCCAUGCCGCGUGUGUGAAGAAGGUCUUCGGAUUGUAAAGCACUUUAAGUUGGGAGGAAGGGCAGUUACCUAAUACGUAUCUGUUUUGACGUACCGAC
rnacentral:rRNA from 1 species